rnacentral:lncRNA from 1 species
UCCAAGCCAGGCUGAACUGGAGCUAGAUUUGAACCUUGACUGGAUCCUGUUAUCUCUCAUCAGAAGUCUGUUUAUGGAAAAGCAUACAUUAAAUCACGAAAAAAUGGAACUGAACUAGACCCAAACCUGGACCUAAUGGAGACUGAACUGGAAUUGUACACUGGUAAAGAAUUCAGACUGUGCAGUGAUCUGAAGCAGACUAAACUCAACUAGACUAGGCCUGUUAUCUUAUGGUCUAGUCUGUGUAUUCUACUGCUCUGGUCCAAUAUCUACCGCUUUCCACUGGAUGGGACUGGUGAGGACCUUGUGGACCUUUACCAGCCUCUCUAACAUCUCCACAGGCCCACUUAUACAGACCCAGUACGUCAGACAUCAGGAGGAAAGCCAUGUGUCUGAAGUCGAGAAGGAAACAGAUGAACAGAUAAGAGAUAAAAAAUAAUAAAGUAGUGGGGUCAUCAGUUAGCCAAAUCGCGUCAAUUUCAGCCUUCAUCCUCAUCAAAAUCAUCAUCAAUAAAUAAGUUUACAGGUCCAGAGUAGAGUUGGGUAAAUGUCCGGUUUUGCCGGUCCUGUCCGUUGUACGAGCUUAAACCGGUUUGAUUUUGUACAAGCUGGCUGAACCGGCAUUUGUCAUUAGACACGUUCUGGCAAAUAAAAAAGACGCCUACAUCAGCAACCUGUGCCGAAGGCGUGACGGCGCUUAUGGUGGCGUCUCAGCGCUAAAUCCAGUUUGUAUCACAUUAGCAAUAUGAAAACGUGAUUAAAAUAAUAUUGUGACGAACAAGUUGUUAGUUUCUGAUAGAAAGUUCGCAAUUUACUGCAGAGCCAAGAUGGCGGACAACAAGGACGAGAUGUCAGUUUCAGUAGAGGUUGAAAGAGGGAUGUGGUGUUUGUUUACCAAAAGUUUGUUUGGGGUAACGAGACAUGACAGAGUUCGUCUCAAAGAAAACUGAAGCCAAACUGACUGAGCUGAGUCAAGUGGGACGCCUGGUGGUAAAAUUCGAAAUACCGGUCCGGUCCAGUGUUAAUAUCAAACCAGUUUGACAUUUCUUACACCAGCCCAACCCUAAUCUAGAGUUCUACAUUCAAAUCUAAAAAGCCUACUUUAUUAUGAAAAAAAUAAUGCUGUAUGACUGUAUAUGACUGCACCACGUGCAUUGUUAACAUCAUGGUUGUAGUCAUCCACGCCUUCUGCACAUCUUCAUUAUCACAUCCUCAUCAUCACCAUGGAGUGCGUUUACGUGCACACAGCAUGAUGAAUAACAGGUCAAAUCUUACUUAAUAUUCUCUAAAGAGUUACAUCUUCACAUG